rnacentral:rRNA from 1 species
CCUACGGGAGGCAGCAGUGAGGAAUAUUGGUCAAUGGCCGGAAGGCUGAACCAGCCAUGCCGCGUGAAGGUCAGUGCCCUAUGGGCGUUAAACUUCUUUUGUGCGGGAGCAAUAAUGGUCACGUGUGGCCAGACGAGAGUACCGUACGAAUAAGCAUCGGCUAACUCCGUGCCAGCAGCCGCGGUAAUACGGGGGAUGCAAGCGUUAUCGGGAUUUAUUGGGUUGAAAGGGUGCGUAGGCUGUGAGGUAAGUCAGCGGUGAAAUGCCCCCGCUCAACGGGGUGAAGUGCCAUUGAUACUGCCGUGCUGGAAUGCGGAUGCCGUGGGAGGAAGGUGUGGUGUAGCGGUGAAAUGCAUAGAUAUCACACAGAACACCGAUUGCGAAGGCAUCUCACGAAUCCGCGAUUGACGCUGAUGCACGAAAGCGUGGGUAUCAAACAGGAUUAGAUACCCGUGUAGUC